rnacentral:rRNA from 1 species
UACGGGGGGGGGCAAGCGUUGUUCGGAAUUACUGGGCGUAAAGCGCGCGUAGGCGGUUUUGCAAGUCGGGUGUGAAAUCCCCAGGCUUAACCUGGGAACUGCAUUCGAGACUGCAUUACUAGAGUAUGGGAGAGGGAAGUGGAAUUUCCGGUGUAGCGGUGAAAUGCGUAGAUAUCGGAAGGAACAUCAGUGGCGAAAGCGACUUCCUGGACCAAUACUGACGCUCAUGUGCGAAAGCGUGGGGAGCAAACAGGG